rnacentral:rRNA from 1 species
UUGGAGGGCAAGUCUGGUGCCAGCAGCCGCGGUAAUUCCAGCUCCAAUAGCGUAUAUUAAAGUUGUUGUGGUUAAAAAGCUCGUAGUUGAACCUUGGGCCUGGCUGGCCGGUCCGCCUCACCGCGUGCACUGGUCCGGCCGGGCCUUUCCCUCUGCGGAACCCCAUGCCCUUCACUGGGUGUGGCGGGGAAACAGGACUUUUACUUUGAAAAAAUUAGAGUGCUCAAGGCAGGCCUUUGCUCGAAUACAUUAGCAUGGAAUAAUAGAAUAGGACGUGUGG